GAUGUAUUUUUGUUCUAUGUUACGGCCAUAGAUUGGAUUAACUGUUAAUCGUACAUUU
rnacentral:tRNA from 1 species